AUUGAACGCUGGCGGCAGGCCUAGCACAUGCAAGUCGAACGGUAACAGGAAACAGCUUGCUGUUUCGCUGACGAGUGGCGGACGGGUGAGUAAUGUCUGGGGAACUCCACGAUGGAGGGGGAUAACUACUGGAAACGGUAGCGAAUACCGCAUAACGUCGCAAGACCAAAGAGGGGGACCUUCGGGCCUCUUGCCAUCGGGUGUGCCCAGAUGGGAUUAGCUAGUAGGUGGGGUAACGGCGCACCUAGGCGACGAUACCUAGCUGGUCUGAGAGGAUGAGCAGCCACACUGGAACUGAGACACGGUCCAGACUCCUACGGGAGGCAGCAGUGGGGAAUAUUGCACAAUGGGCGCAAGCCUGAUGCAGCCAUGCCGCGUGUAUGAAGAAGGCCUUCGGGUUGUAAAGUACUUUCAGCGGGGAGGAAGGGAGUAAAGUUAAUACCUUGACUCAUUGACGUUACCCGCAGAAGAAGCACCGGCUAACUCCGUG
rnacentral:rRNA from 1 species